CCUACGGGUGGCAGCAGUGAGGGAUAUUGGUCAAUGGGCGAAACCCUGAACCAGCUACGCCGCGUGAGGGAAGACGGCCUUCGGAUUGUAAACCUCUGUCCUCUGUGAAGAUAAUGAGGGUAGCAGAGGAGGACGCUCCGGCUAACUACGUGCAAGCAGCCGCGGUAAUACGGGGGAUGCGAGCGUUAUCCGGAUUUAUUGGGGUAAAGGGGUGCGUAGGCGGUUCGUUAAGUCAGCGGUAAAAUUGCGGGGCUCAACCCCGUCGAGCCGUUGAAACUGGCAGGCUUGAGUGGGCGAGAAGGACGCGGAAUGCGCGGUGUAGCGGUGAAAUGCAUAGAUAUCGCGCAGAACUCCGAUUGCGAAGGCAGCGUACCGGCGCCAGACUGACGCUGAGGCACGAAAGCGUGGGGAUCGAACAGGAUUAGAUACCCGAGUAGUC
rnacentral:rRNA from 1 species